UCGGGUGUGGUGUAGGGAACACAGCGAGUGGGUUUGGACGGGGAUUCAAUCUGCAUAUUGAACCUCGCAGUCCGGGGUUCGACUCCCCGCAUCCGAA